CAGGGAUGGAAAGUUAAGCAGGAGGGAUCUGAGAAAGCUGCACUAUAAGCGGAUGCCGCUGGAGCACUGCGCUCAAAGAUUUUUCCAGUCAUGUGACAAGAACCAGAAUAAGAAGGUGACCCUGAGGGAGUGGACAUCCUGUCUGGUGAAGCGGUCAGAGCGCUGGUUUCAGGAUUUCAUGUCCAUGAAGAUGGGCUCUCCAAAGCUGUGUCCGGUUCAAGACAACAAUCUCUGAAUUUAUGUGUAUAUGUCUGUAUAUUUGGGUGGAAAUGUCAUUUGAAGACAUGAUGGAACAUAAUCCUGAUCUAGUCCACUGCUGAUUAUGAACAUCUAAUUUUUUAAAAAAUAUUUAAAUCGUAUACAUUUAAUUGGAUGAUAUAACAUCCAUGUGGUAUUUGGGGAAAAAAGUGCCUUUAUUUAAUUGCUUACAAGAUGUAAACAGUAAUAUUUGACAUAGUUUUACAAUUUAACAUAUCUGUUUUCUAUUAAUUUUUUUUAUAUUAAUUCAGGCGACACGGUGGCUCA